UGGGGAAUAUUGGACAAUGGGGCAACCCUGAUCCAGCAAUGCCGCGUGUGUGAAGAAGGUCUUCGGAUUGUAAAGCACUUUCGACGGGGACGAUGAUGACGGUACCCGUAGAAGAAGCCCCGGCUAACUUCGUGCCAGCAGCCGCGGUAAUACGAAGGGGGCUAGCGUUGCUCGGAAUGACUGGGCGUAAAGGGCGUGUAGGCGGUUUACACAGUCAGAUGUGAAAUCCCCGGGCUUAACCUGGGAGCUGCAUUUGAUACGUGUAGACUAGAGUGUGAGAGAGGGUUGUGGAAUUCCCAGUGUAGAGGUGAAAUUCGUAGAUAUUGGGAAGAACACCGGUGGCGAAGGCGGCAACCUGGCUCAUGACUGACGCUGAGGCGCGAAAGCGUGGGGAGCAAACAGGAUUAGAUACCCUGGUAGUCCACGCUGUAAACGAUGUGUGCUAGAUGUUGGGUAACUUU
rnacentral:rRNA from 1 species